ensembl:lncRNA
UAUAACCAGCCACGCCUCUGUUCUAUCCUGCCGGUGCAUCGUAUAACCAGCCUCUCCUCUGUUCUGUCCUGCCGGUGCAUCGUAUAACCAGCCACGCCUCUGUUCUGUCCUGCCGGUGCAUCGUAUAACCAGCCUCUGUUCUGUCCUGCCGGUGCAUCGUAUAACCAGCCUCUGUUCUGUCCUGCCGGUGCAUCGUAUAACCAGCCUCUGUUCUAUCCUGCCGGUGCAUCGUAUAACCAGCCUCUGUUCUAUCCUGCCGGUGCAUCGUAUAACCAGCCACGCCUCUGUUCUAUCCUGCCGGUGCAUCGUAUAACCAGCC